CCUACGGGUGGCAGCAGUGGGGAAUAUUGCACAAUGGGGGAAACCCUGAUGCAGCAACGCCGCGUGAGUGAAGAAGUAUUUCGGUAUGUAAAGCUCUAUCAGCAGGGAAGAACAUGACGGUAUCUGAUUAAGAAACCCCAGCUCACUACGUGCCAGCAGCCGCGGUAAUAUGUAGGGGGCAAGCGUUAUCCGGAUUUACUGGGUGUAAAGGGGGCGUAGACGGGAGGACACGUCUGAUGUGAAAUGCCGCGGCUUAACCGCGGAACUGCAUUGGAAACUGUGUAGCUCGAGUGCCGGAGAGGUAAGUGGAAUUCCUAGUGUAGCGGUGAAAUGCGUAGAUAUUAGGAGGAACACCAGUGGCGAAGGCGGCUGACUGGACGGUAACUGACGGUGAGGCGCGAAAGCGUGGGGAGCAAACAGGAUUAGAUACCCGAGUAGUC
rnacentral:rRNA from 1 species